GAUGAACGCUGGCGGCGUGCUUAACACAUGCAAGUCGAACGGAAAGGCUCCUGCUUGCAGGGGUACUCGAGUGGCGAACGGGUGAGUAACACGUGGGUGAUCUGCCCUGCACUUCGGGAUAAGCCUGGGAAACUGGGUCUAAUACCGGAUGGGACCACAUUUUGGAUGGUGUGGUGGAAAGUUUUUCGGUGUGGGAUGAGCUCGCGGCCUAUCAGCUUGUUGGUGGGGUAAUGGCCUACCAAGGCGUCGACGGGUAGCCGGCCUGAGAGGGUGUACGGCCACAUUGGGACUGAGAUACGGCCCAGACUCCUACGGGAGGCAGCAGUGGGGAAUAUUGCACAAUGGGCGCAAGCCUGAUGCAGCGACGCCGCGUGGGGGAUGACGGCCUUCGGGUUGUAAACUCCUUUCGCUAGGGACGAAGCGCAAGUGACGGUACCUGGAGAAGAAGCACCGGCUAACUACGUG
rnacentral:rRNA from 1 species